GCCACCUGCACUGGGAAGGCCUUGGGCUAACAGGGUUAGCAGCGUGUGGGUGGAAAAAGAGCAGCCUUGCCUUCCAUGUGAGGCUCACGCAAGCCUUGUAUCAGAUUUCUUGUCUCCUACAGCCCUCUCUGAUGAUGGAUGCACAGAGCUGAGGGCACCUGCAUGUCACCUGGGUGUGUUAGGAGUAUGCCUAUGGGAUGGGGACUUGCUGGAUGAGGUGAGGAGGGCACAGCCAGCUGAAGGAUCCGCUCUGGGGCUUUAACCUUGAGACAGGGCUUGGAGGAGCUCAAGGGCUGGAGGUUGCAUCAGAGGCAGCUUUGCAUAUGCCCUGGGCAGCCUCUGAGGCAUCCGAGAAGUUGGGUGACAGUGGCGUGACACCCUUAAGAGAGCUUUAGCAAUGAAUUCAGACUUCUAAAGAAAUGAAGUGGGUGGAUCUAUGCUUUCAAGCCUCUGUUCUCCGUGAAUAGAAGCCACUCCUACCUUUUGCACUGAAGUGCUGCAAAGAUGAAUAAGCAUUAAGGCGCUCUUAUUCCUGGCUAACGAGGCCCACGGGGGCAGAGAAGCAAACUGGCACCGCCGUGAUCCUAAGUACCAACCUUCCCCGUGGGCUGCAGGCAGCCCCCGUGGCGCAGCAACGUCACGCUCACCGCGCUGCCGUACUUCCAUUACACGUCUGCAUCACCAGCGUUGUGCUUCCCAGCAUGCCCUAGAAUCCCUUCAAACAAGCAUUCGCUGUAGCAGAAAGUCCAAGAAAAGGCUUACUCCCUUGAGGAUCAAGAAGAAAGCAACAGUGAAGAAAGGUACAGUAGCUAUUAAUAUUAAUGCUAAAGGAAGAGGGGGGAGAGAGGACACAGGAACAGUGAAAAAAAUGACUACUUAUGGCUUUGAUGUGUUCAUUUCCACAGGACCGGUGGCAGCACGGAGAAUACGGAAAGCAGAUAAAGAGGAAAAUGAGGAGGUGGAGGUGAGCAGAAGGCAGCUCAGAAAAUUGCACAAGCUGUGGGGAAUUUUUGCAUCUAGCCACUCACACACCGCAAAGGGAGUGACUCUGCCAUCUGCAUCUCCUCUGAAAAAAAAAAAAAAAAAAAAAGAGGAAGGGAGAAGAGGGACAGAAUGGAGACAAAAAAAGAAAUCCACCUGUUGUGCCUCUUGUUUUGGCUGUGGUAGGACAGAUCCAUGCUGA
rnacentral:lncRNA from 1 species